CCAAAUUGCAGGAUCCUGUAUCCCAAGAUCACCUCAUCCUAUGGCAGCAACAGAAUUCUCAGGUGUUCUUUCCCUUUGAGGAGAGCGUAUGACCAGCCCCAAGUUGAAUGGCAAGUCGUCUGAAGAUCCUUCUUCGUACACAGCAGCAAUCUGUGGUCUUGGAACAUGCAACUGAUUGAAGCUGAAGGUGCUGUCUAUUAUUAUUAUCAAACCUUCCCCCCUUACACCACCCAUUCAGUUGUAGGAUGCAACAGAGAAGAUAAUUCUGGAGAUUCACUGCUGAGAACUCAGCAUCAAGAGGAUACCAGCUCUGUUUAAUUGUGUUCUAAAGGGAAUAUGUAUUUAUGCAUCUUUCUUUUUGAUGACAAGAAUUCAGAAAAAUCAUUAAAAAUACUUGCUGAAGACUGUAGAAAGGCAGUUAGACCUGACCUGUAGUCAUUGGUGUCCAUAGUGUUCAGACAGUGAUCACAGAAGUGUCAUUGUGUAACUGGAUGAAGAAUUGGAUUUAAUUCAUUUGAUUUUCAUAUGUCUCAUAGGUGGAUACUGAUGGAGCAGCUGCUGAAAAUAACAGCUCAUGGGUCUGAAGGAUAUUAUUAAGCCGUAAUCCACCUACAAGUCAGCUGGUUAGAAAUGCAAGGUGCAGGGACUCGAGUGGAAUCCAAGCUUUGUGAAUAUGGCCCUUAGAGGAAUCUGUUCAUAAAACAAGUUACUUUCUCAACAUGCAUCACGCUGAGAUUCAUUGUGCCACGUGACACUAUGAAUGGUAAAUCCAGGAAUAGUUUUCUUAUUUGUUGUCAAGGUUACUUUAGUAAGUGUCUGUGUUUGUGCAGAAUAUCCUAGUCUCGAUUAAAUCCUAUCACAUGGCUUUGAAGAAGACCUGGAAGGCAGUUAACUACUGUAACUGAUUUGUUUGAAUUUCUGCCAGUGAUCAGAGCAUAUAUUCUUGCAUUUUUCAUUGGUAGCUACUGAAAAGUUGACUUGCUUUUAGUCAACUUUAAAUGAAGUAACUUAUGGACCAUAUUGUGGAAACUAAUAAAACUCUGGGCUAUAAUGAUGUGGGGGAAGCGUUAGGUCAGGGCUUGAACUGGUGAUUGAGCACCUGGUGAAGGGCUGUGGCUGCCCAGGGAGCACAGGCAAAUUGUUUGCAGCUGUGCUCCCCACCUGACCAGGGUGAACCCAGGGUAGAGCUCCUAUAAGGGCAGCCACUGAAGGGAGAACCUCCCUUGGACUGAGGAUACUUCCAGAGAGGGAAUGCUGCAUGGCCAGAGGGCCUCCUCACCAGUUGGGACUGCCUCAAGGAUCUGACAGGAGGAAUUGAGUAUGCUGCCAAGAUAUUAAAUGAAAUUCCCCAGAAAGACAUUCAGUGCACUAAAAGAGCCUCAAAGGCAGAAAGGGAAGGAAAUGGGCAAGUGGAUGGGGGGAAACUUCUAAGAGGACUGAAGGACCACUGACUUCUUUGAGUUCAUCUAAUCACUUUGCUGGGGGUUAUUGCAGCUAUAAAAUGUUUUCCCGUGGUAAUGAUGGCAGUUACAGAGGAGAUUCAUGACUUGCACCACUUUUGCUGGACACAGUUUGCUCAUGUGUUCCUUACCUGAAUACUUCAAAGCCUCAUUUUGGAGAGGAGAAGAGAGAUUACACAGACGGCUGUGGGCCUGAAGGCUGGCUGCUAGCAUGAAUGUUGCACGACUUACUGUGACUGUUGCUUUGCUGGCACUCCAGACCGAACCAGACACCAUCAGAAGCAGUGUGAGCUGUCACAAUAGCACUGCCCAUAUUUCUUCAACUGGAAGCAUCAGCCUGGUGAUGUGCUAGGGCAAGCUUACGGGCCCUUUCAAGGCCAGUGUAUUCUUGUGUCAACCUGAGGAAGCCUGUGAGUAGAGCAGCUUGUUCUUAACCAGCAUUGUAUCAUAUUGGCUUAAUUCGUGAGGGCUGUGUGCCAGCCUGCAGUGAACCAGGUCAAUUUUAGCAUGAUGGUAUGUUACAGACACUUAGCAUGAAGUUCUAUGUAUGCUGAGUCGAUUCUAUUUCCAGGCCAGUGUUUUCUGCCUGUGCUGUGGGAUGUUUCUGAGGCUGUCCUAGAAACAUUUAUAGGGAUUCCAACACUUUUUCAGGGAUAGCCAAUGAUAUCCUGGGUUACUGCAGUGAUGAAUGUGCAUCACAGCGUUACAUCAUUUCAGUGGGAACAAGAAGGAGGGAGAGGUAGAGUGCAGCAGGAACCUCUGAUGCUGGCUUUGCCACCAAGGAAUACACAUUGUGUAACAGCACUCUGCAAAUUAAAUGUUACGCUUUCAUGCUCUUCUUCUUCCAUGUGCCGUAAUUAAAAGCCUCUUCCUUUGGUUUGUGGGUUCAGAACUGUGUAAUGAUGUUAAACAAACAAACAUCUGACCAAAUUCCUAUCUACCAGAUUAAUUUUUAACAGUUUAGUGAAUAAUGGCAUGUCGUUAAGGGUGGAUAGUGCGUUUAAACUCCUGUAAGGCUUUCUGAGUGGCGGUGAGUGUCUUUCUGGGAUGUCAAGGGAGUGGAUUUCAAUUCGCUUUGAAAACAGAGAAAGAAAUAAGGAAUUAUAUUUUUCUUAAAAAAAAAACAACAAAAAACCUUGCAACUAUUAUGCUUUGAAAUAUAAAUUCCUUUCCUGACUACUCUCUAAGCAUCUAACAGCCAUAUUUCUGAGUAAUGGCAUGGAAGAGCUGAAAAGUAUUCAUGCACUUCAAAAGUUGAGAAUGAAUGAGUUUUUGUUCAGACGUAGUUAUGAAAAUCUAAACAAUAUCAUAUUUAGAUUUGUAGGGCAGUAAGAAUAAAGAGAUCAGUGGCUUAUGUAAACUAAAUCCAGCUAAUUAACACAAGAUGAUGGCAUUUAGUUUCUCAUUUUCUGAUAGCCCCUUGGCUCUCCUCUAGCCUGAUUAAUGCCAGACAUUGUUGCAGUGCGUUGAAGCAGCUCUUUCAGAGCAAGGAACAGACUCUCUUUGUGAAGCAGUCCAAGCUCUGC